UACGGAGGGUGCAAGCGUUGUUCGGAAUCACUGGGCGUAAAGCGCGUGUAGGCGGCCCAUUAAGUCUGAUGUGAAAGCCCGGGGCUCACCCCCGGAAGUGCAUUGGAAACUGAUAGGCUCGAGUCCCGGAGAGGAGGGUGGAAUUCCUGGUGUAGCGGUGAAAUGCGCAGAUAUCAGGAGGAACACCGGUGGCGAAGGCGGAUCUCUGGGCCUUACCUGACGCUCAGGCGCGAAAGCUAGGGGAGCGAACAGG
rnacentral:rRNA from 1 species